rnacentral:lncRNA from 1 species
UGCUUCCUCUUCUUCUUCAUCUCUAAUCAGAAAGGCCCGUCUCUCUCCUUACCUCUUCACUUUAUUAGCCUUCAUUGUCUUUGUUGCCAUCCUUUAUGGCGAGGACUUCGUGUGCCUCCUUGGCCAACUUGACCCCAACGUGGACCGGCUAGCAACCAUAACCGGUGAGUUGAGUCCAUCGGUGGAUAUCAAAUUUUAACUCUCUUUAUUCAUAUAUAAUUUCUUCUUUUUAAAAAGAAAAAAAAUGUUUUCGUGUAAAAAUGUGUGGUUUACUGAGAUGGCCGUUCAUGUCAUGUUUUGGGGUUAGAGAAGAGGUGGGAGAAGCUACCUUUCUCAAUAGGGAAGGCCCCAGAUGGUUGUGACUUGUUUAGUGGGAGGUGGGUGUGGGACGAUUCAACUCGGCCUCUUUACGAAGAAUCGGAGUGUCC